AACUGACUUCAUUGGUAUGCAAAACUACAAAAUCUCCUGAGUUUGAUAAACUGAGAUUGAAAAAUCCAAAUAGGAACCGCAAAAUAAUGGUAGCCAAAUUGGGUUGCAAAAUAUCUCAUAGGCCUCAAAUGGUUAUAUGCACCUACACUAUGUGUAAAUUGAUUAUUUAUGAUCUAAUCAUUUUGAAUGAUUUCAAAUGCACAAAAUCUAGCCUCUACAACUCAUAGCCUCUCUAGAACCCAAACCCU
rnacentral:lncRNA from 1 species